GAUGAACGCUGACAGAAUGCUUAACACAUGCAAGUCCACUUGAACUUCGGUUUGGGUGGCGGACGGGUGAGUAACGCGUAAAGAACUUGCCUCACAGAUAGGGACAACAUUUGGAAACGAAUGCUAAUACCUGAUAUUAUGAUUAUAUGGCAUCGUAUAAUUAUGAAAGCUAUAUGCGCUGUGAGAGAGCUUUGCGUCCCAUUAGCUAGUUGGAGAGGUAACGGCUCACCAAGGCGAUGAUGGGUAGCCGGCCUGAGAGGGUGAUCGGCCACAAGGGGACUGAGAAACGGCCCUUACUCAUACGGGAGGCAGGAGCGGGGAAUAUUGGACAAUGGACCAAGAGUCUGAUCCAGCAAUUCUGUGUGCACGAUGAAGUUUUUCGGAAUGUAAAGUGCUUUCAGUUGGGAAGAAAAAAAUGACGGUACCAACAGAAGAAGUGACGGCUAAAUACGUG
rnacentral:rRNA from 1 species